rnacentral:rRNA from 2 species
GGUUAAGCGACUAAGCGUACACGGUGGAUGCCCUGGCAGUCAGAGGCGAUGAAGGACGUGCUAAUCUGCGAUAAGCGUCGGUAAGGUGAUAUGAACCGUUAUAACCGGCGAUUUCCGAAUGGGGAAACCCAGUGUGAUUCGUCACACUAUCAUUAACUGAAUCCAUAGGUUAAUGAGGCGAACCGGGGGAACUGAAACAUCUAAGUACCCCGAGGAAAAGAAAUCAACCGAGAUUCCCCCAGUAGCGGCGAGCGAACGGGGAGCAGCCCAGAGCCUGAAUCAGUGUGUGUGUUAGUGGAAGCGUCUGGAAAGGCGC